UUCACGCUCUCUCUUUUAGUUUCUUUUCUAUGGUUUCUUCUUCUCUCUCAACUUCUAAACGCCUCACGCUCUCUCUCUUUUAGUUUUUUUUUUCCUAUGGUUUCUUCUUCUCUCUCAGUUUCUAAACGCUUCUUCUUCUCUCCUAAUUUCUUCUCUUCUAACUUUUUCUCUUCCAAACCAACCACAAGAACCUAGAGCCACGACUAUUAAACAAAACCCUAAGCAAAACCCAAAAAAGAAGAAAUAGAACUGCUUCAGGGUAUUUUUCCAUUCUAGCUGCCUAACUGAAGAAACGUAGUGCUACAAUUCCAGCCACCUAACAAAGUAUUUAUCUGCCCGGUGACAAUAUUAGCCUAGAGGGUUGAGUCUGUCAAAAAGGUGAUAUCUAAGGAUUAUAGAGGAAGGAUUAAGAAGAAAUUCUUUUGUCGUAUGCUAGUUGAGGAAAGAAAGUUCCAAGAUUCACCAGGAAAAAGGUUGGGAGGUCUGAACAAGGCAUUCUUUGUUGGUUUGAACAAAGUAAUAUGUCGAUUACAAGAAAACAUGCAGAAGAUGAUAAAGAUAAAGUUGAUCAAGAUGAGUUAGUCAUACACUACAAGGAGGAGAAAAAGUUGAGGAUUACACUGUUAUGGUAGAAUGCAUUUGUAAUUAUUGUGAUUGUUAUGAUUUUGUGCAAUAGAGCUAGAGUGGAGCAAUAAAAGAUUUUGCCAUAAUUUUAGCUAAUUUGGACCAAAUUUAUCACCAUUUUAAUGUUAUUGUUAUGGUUAUUAAUGUACUUUGUCAUCCAAUAAAUGGAUUUUCUGUUUGGAAAGAUUAAAAUAAAUAAAUA